CGUCUACAUAAAACAAAGGAGAAAAUCCAUAUGCCAACUGCUUUACCACCUCACCCCAAAAGUGUGUUAAAAUGUCAGGUUUUUACCAAUCUAAUGGGUGUUGCUUCAGAGAGUGGAUUUAAAAAAAAAAAAAAACAGAAUAAUUUCUUGGUUGUUUUUAGUUUCAAAACAUGAAUCACUGGAAAAAA